rnacentral:rRNA from 1 species
UACGGAGGAUCCAAGCGUUAUCCGGAUUUAUUGGGUUUAAAGGGUGCGUAGGCGGCCUAUUAAGUCAGGGGUGAAAGCCGGUAGCUUAACUAUCGCAGUGCCUUUGAUACUGAUGGGCUUGAAUACACUAGAGGUAGGCGGAAUGUGACAAGUAGCGGUGAAAUGCAUAGAUAUGUCACAGAACACCAAUUGCGAAGGCAGCUUACUAUGGUGCAAUUGACGCUGAGGCACGAAAGCGUGGGGAUCAAACAGG